GGAGGCGCGCGCCCCCGCGCAGGCGCGGCCCGGGAGGGCAGCCCCGCCCAAUGCGCGCGGCCCCGGCCCUCAGCGAGCGCCGCCAUUUUGGUGCGGGGCAGAGGAGGAGGGUGCGGCGGGGUGGAGCUGCUGUGGCACCCUGAGCCCACCGCCCACCGCMCCCGGGGCAUGUGGAGGGCAUGGGGGGGUCAGCGGUGCCAACACGUGGUGUGGCGGAGCGGGGGGGUCCCCGCCGUCCCCUGAUUGUGGGGUCGUUUCAUGUCACUUCAGGUGUGUGUGCACCGGGCAGGGGUGACUCCGUGCAAGCCGAUGGUGGCCAACAGCGCCAAAAAACAAAUAAAUAUUGGCAGUACUGAUGACUGUUGGCAGAGAUACUCACCCUCCUCUCCUUUCUAACCAUGGGCAAUCGUCCGCUCUAACCAUGGACAUUUCUCCCCUCUAAGCAGGGGCAUUCUUCCACUUCUAACCAUGGCCAAUCCUCUCCUCAUACUAUGGCAGGGUUUUCCCUGUCAUCUUGUGUGCUACAUACAGCUGGCAUGCCCUAUGAAAGAMUUGAGAACUCAAAGGCAGCCACAGUGUCCAGAUGAGAGAAGAGGGAAGGAACAGGCUCUCAGCAUUCAGAGCAGUCUGGCUGUCCGUGACACUCACUCAGGAUUGGGUACAUGAGCAGCACUUUCCUCCUGUAGAUGUCUGGUGGGAACUUGGCGUAGUAGACUUUGGCUCGCUGCGUCUCCUCGUCGCUCUGGAUCAGGAUUUUCCCGAUSCGGAUGGAUCUGCAGCAGUCCCGCAGGCCUUGUUCCAUGGCCUCUCCUCAAAGGAGCAGCACAAACACAGAGCAAAUGGUCACAGGCUGAGAAAGGGCUCAGGGACAGGGGGCUGCACUGAA